rnacentral:rRNA from 1 species
UACGGGGGGGGCAAGCGUUGUUCGGAAUUACUGGGCGUAAAGGGCUCGUAGGCGGCCAACUAAGUCAGACGUGAAAUCCCUCGGCUUAACCGGGGAACUGCGUCUGAUACUGGAUGGCUUGAGUUCGGGAGAGGGAUGCGGAAUUCCAGGUGUAGCGGUGAAAUGCGUAGAUAUCGGGAGGAACACCUGUGGCGAAAGCGGCUCACUGGACCACAACUGACGCUGAGGCGCGAAAGCUAGGGGAGCAAACAGG